rnacentral:rRNA from 1 species
UACGUAGGGGGCAAGCGUUGUCCGGAUUUAUUGGGCGUAAAGAGCGUGUAGGCGGCUUGGGUAGGUCUCGCGUCAAAACCUGAGGCUCAACCUCAGUUCGCGUGGGAAACCACCUAGCUAGAGUCCGGAAGAGGAGAACGGCAAAUUCCCAGUGUAGCGGUGAAAUGCGCAGAUAUUGGGAAGAACACCAGUGGCGAAGGCGGUUCUCUGGGACGGUACUGACGCUGAGACGCGAAAGCGUGGGGAGCAAACAGG